AACGGUCACUACCAACAGUGGUGUUUCAAGUAAUCCAAAUUUGAAUUACGUCAAACACCACUGUUGGUAGUGACCGUUG
rnacentral:pre_miRNA from 1 species